rnacentral:lncRNA from 1 species
UUGCCUCCUCCUUGCCCUCCUGCUCCCUCUCUUACCCUCUCACUCUUACUCUCUUAGUCUCUGGCUCUUACUCUCACCACUUGCCCUCCUGCUUCCCCUCUCUUCCCCCCUUGUCUCCACAUGAGCAUAGCCAGUCUCUACUUCACUACUCUUUUCCCUUGCUCUGCCUUUCUACAAUAAUCGCCUUAAAAACCAUAGAGUGCCUCUUCAUAUUGGGACCUGCCUUGCUGGAGCAAUGGAGCAGGUCUUUCCCUAAAGAGCUAAGGCUCUAACCUCCCACUGGGAGGCCUCCCAGCAACAGACAAGCAAGCUGCAGACUUGAAACAAAGGCCUUUUGAGAGAGCAGGACAUACCUGUAUACACUGGAGAUAUAAAGGAAUAUCAGAACAAGUGCUAACAGAUCAUGAAAAAGGCAACUUAUA